GAAAGUGCCAACUGGUACACUAUGAGAUGGACCCGCGUUGUAUUAGCUAGUUGGUAGUGUAAUGGACUACCAAGGCGAUGAUACAUAGCCGACCUGAGAGGGUGAUCGGCCACAUUGGGACUGAGACACGGCCCAAACUCCUACGGGAGGCAGCAGUAGGGAAUCUUCGGCAAUGGACGAAAGUCUGACCGAGCAACGCCGCGUGAGUGAAGAAGGUUUUCGGAUCGUAAAACUCUGUUGUUAGAGAAGAAUGUUGAUUAGAGUGGAAAAUUAAUCAAGUGACGGUAUCUAACCAGAAAGGGACGGCUAACUACGUG
rnacentral:rRNA from 1 species